rnacentral:misc_RNA from 1 species
GAUGUAGAACGUAGCGAAAUGCGAUAAGUAAUGUGAAUUGCAGAAUUCAGUGAAUCAUCGAAUCUUUGAACGCACAUUGCGCCCAUUAGCAUUCUAGUGGGCAUGCCUGUUCGAGCGUCAUUUCAACCCUUAAGCCCUGUUGCUUAGCGUUGGGAGCCUACAGUACUGUAGCUCCCCAAAGUUAGUGGCGGAGUCGGUUUCACACUCUAGACGUAGUAAUUUUUUCUCGUCUGUAGUUGAGCCGGUCCCCUGCCGUAAAACACCCAAUUUAUCAAGGUUGACCUCGGAUCAGGUAGGAAUACCCGCUGAACUUAAGCAUAUCAAUAAGCGGAGGA